CAGUCGCCGCGGGAAUACGUAGGUGGCAAGCGUUGUCCGGAAUUAUUGGGCGUAAAGGGCUCGCAGGCGGUUUCUUAAGCCUGAUGUGAAAGCCCCCGGCUCAACCGGGGAGGGUCAUUGGAAACUGGGAAACUUGAGUGCAGAAGAGGAGAGUGGAAUUCCACGUGUAGCGGUGAAAUGCGUAGAGAUGUGGAGGAACACCAGUGGCGAAGGCGACUCUCUGGUCUGUAACUGACGCUGAGGAGCGAAAGCGUGGGGAGCGAACAGGAUUAGAUACCCCUGUAGUCCCUGUCUCUUAUAA
rnacentral:rRNA from 1 species